rnacentral:rRNA from 1 species
GACGAACGCUGGCGGCGUGCUUAACACAUGCAAGUCGAACGGAAAGGCCCUGCUUUUGUGGGGUGCUCGAGUGGCGAACGGGUGAGUAACACGUGAGUAACCUGCCCUUGACUUUGGGAUAACUUCAGGAAACUGGGGCUAAUACCGGAUAGGAGCUCCUGCUGCAUGGUGGGGGUUGGAAAGUUUCGGCGGUUGGGGAUGGACUCGCGGCUUAUCAGCUUGUUGGUGGGGUAGUGGCUUACCAAGGCUUUGACGGGUAGCCGGCCUGAGAGGGUGACCGGCCAAAUGGGGACGGGAGAACGGCCAGGACUCCUAGGGGGGGAAGAGGUGGGGAAUUUUGCCAAAGGGGGGGAAGCCUGAUGCAGAAACGCCGGGGGGGGGAUGACGGCCUUGGGGUUGAAAACCGUUUUCGCCGGUGACGAAGCGGGGGUGACGGUAAUGGGUAAAGAAGCACCGGCUAACUACGU